rnacentral:lncRNA from 1 species
UGCAGCAAUAGUACUGGUGAUCUCUACCGCAUGGAGUAAAGCUCUAUCUGUCACUAUCCUCAGAUGCAUUCUUUUGCUCUCAAAAAUUCAGAUAUUUCUGUCCAGCCAUAUGUGAUAGGCCACAUAGAUAUAUCUAAUGCCCCACUCCAGAGUGCUCGGUCACCGCCAAGCUUUUUUCAACUGGUCUAGGAAUUUCUCCACCGAAGCCACACCCUAUGGUGAAUCCACGAGCCAACCCCCCACCUGAGUUGCAUGGGGCAUCCAAAUAGUACAUGAUUGAUGGUCUCCUCCACACCAUAACACCCCUCACUUGCUGAAGUGACUCGCACCCCCCGUCUUGCCAGUACACCUCUCGUC